GGGGAUAACGUUUGGAAACGAACGCUAAUACCGCAUGAUAUUAUUGAGCUGCAUGGCUUGAUAAUCAAAGGAGCAAUCCGCUGAAAGAUGGGCUCGCGUCCGAUUAGGUAGUUGGCGGGGCAACGGCCCACCAAGCCGACGAUCGGUAGCCGGACUGAGAGGUUGAACGGCCACAUUGGGACUGAGACACGGCCCAGACUCCUACGGGAGGCAGCAGUGAGGGAUAUUGGUCAAUGGGGGAAACCCUGAACCAGCAACGCCGCGUGAGGGAAGACGGUUUUCGGAUUGUAAACCUCUGUCCUCUGUGAAGAUGAUGACGGUAGCAGAGGAGGAAGCUCCGGCUAACUACGUGCCAGCAGCCGCGGUAAUACGUAGGGAGCAAGCGUUGUCCGGAUUUACUGGGUGUAAAGGGUGCGUAGGCGGCUUUGCAAGUCAGAAGUGAAAUCCAUGGGCUUAACCCAUGAACUGCUUUUGAAACUGCAGAGCUUGAGUGGAGUAGAGGUAGGCGGAAUUCCCGGUGUAGCGGUGAAAUGCGUAGAGAUCGGGAGGAACACCAGUGGCGAAGGCGGCCUGCUGGGCUCUAACUGACGCUGAGGCACGAAAGCGUGGGUAGCAAACAGGAUUAGAUACCCUGGUAGUCCACGCUGUAAACGAUGAUUACUAGGUGUGGGUGGACUGACCCCAUCCGUGCCGGAG
rnacentral:rRNA from 1 species